rnacentral:rRNA from 1 species
CAGCAGCCGCGGUAAUACGAAGGGUGCAAGCGUUAAUCGGAAUUACUGGGCGUAAAGCGUGCGUAGGCGGUUUGUUAAGUCUGCUGUGAAAUCCCCGGGCUCAACCUGGGAAUGGCAGUGGAUACUGGCUCGCUAGAGUGUGUCAGAGGAUGGUGGAAUUCCCGGUGUAGCGGUGAAAUGCGUAGAGAUCGGGAGGAACAUCAGUGGCGAAGGCGGCCAUCUGGGACAACACUGACGCUGAGGCACGAAAGCGUGGGGAGCAAACAGGAUUAGAGACCCCCGUAGUCCCUGUCUCUUAUAC